UCCGGUCACCGGUCAGUCGCCCCUUAGCCGGCCAACACGCCGCGCCCCGAAUCCUCCUCUUCCCCGAACGCGCUGGCGCGCCUCCCCGGAGCCUCCCACGGCAAGGUCUCAACAACGCAAUCCUGCUACUGCUAGCGCUAGCGAAGGGGGCAGCAACGAACACCGAGCUGGGGAUGGUCAGCAUAAGCAAGGCAGAUAUCGUUGAGCCAAAGAGAAGUUUGUAGUGCACAAUUGCGUCGACGCAAAUCCGACAAUGGACAGAUCAAUUUCUCCUUCGCGGGUAGUACCAAAGAGAAGUUUCCAACCGCCCACAAACGAGAGACAGGGGCAGAGGCAGAGGAAAUAUAAAACCUCCAUGUUCUGAUCAGUCCUCUCAAAUGUAAGCUGAACAAGGUACCGUAUUAUCGUUCUAUAUGCGAUGAACGGUAGCAGGUUGAGGUCUACCGCCGGCUCUCCCGGUACUACAUCCAAGCCCAUGAGUUACCCUCGCCCGGAGAGGAACCAGAUAAUGCACAACUGAGCAAGGAAUUGGAGCGUUGUUUGGAUGCUUAUGAACUAAAUUUCCUCCAGCGCGCCAAAGACAAUCCUGAAUGGUACUUCCAUCCUGAACAAUGCAAGCUUGCCGGCUUGGAAGACUACCAGCGGCUAGUGCUUCCUGAUCAUGGUAUGUAUGGAGAUUUGAAGCAAUACCGCCUGUAUUAUCAUACCUACCAGGAAGAUGUAGAGUAUGUCCAGUUCCGUGAGCAGAUGGCGGAGCAAAUUAAGUGGAUUGACAAUGAAGCAGCACUCUUCGGCGAUCAGCGGCUGAGAAACGAGCUAGAGGCUUUUCUUCAAACACUGAGGAUUGCGAAACGGUUUCCGUAUAUUUCCAGACGCUCAGUUGUCUCUGCCUUACGUGAGCAUCUAUAUAGCCUUCGGUUUGACUUUAACCACCGGAAGGACUUGAUGAAUUUCGGUGACGCUUUGAAGCAAUUGUAUGAAGAGAACAUUUCCCCCUUCCGCAGGCCUGACAUCAAAUUAG